UACAGAGGGUGCGAGCGUUAAUCGGAAUGACUGGGCGUAAAGGGCGCGUAGGCGGCUCGUGAAGUCGGGUGUGAAAGCCCGGGGCUCAACCCCGGAACGGCAUCCGAUACUGGCGGGCUUGAGACCGGGAGAGGAGGGUGGAAUACCCAGUGUAGAGGUGAAAUUCGUAGAUAUUGGGUGGAACACCGGUGGCGAAAGCGGCUCUCUGGCCCGGAUCUGACACUGAUGCACGAAAGCGUGGGGAUCAAACAGG
rnacentral:rRNA from 1 species